rnacentral:lncRNA from 1 species
AAAUUUUAUAUACCACUGCUGCAGCUUGAAACAAAUCUGGUCAUACAACACACAAAGAUUCAGAUGAAAAAAUACAUACUCAAGUAUGAAUAAUAGUUUAAAAAGAAACAUAGAUUUGCCACUGGAUAUACAGUUGAACAAAACCUGUCGCAGACAAAUUAUCCUCAUUUUAGUUCAUAUGAGAAAGUGGAGCAGUCUAAUUAAACAUGGCUUCUGCCAGGCUGCCACUGCCAAUAACAGUUAGCAGUUCAUAUCUGUUCCGAUGGUAAGUGGCGACAACGGCAGUAGUUGACCCGUCCAUGCAAUGUGUGUGUGCAAGUCAACUAGAAGGAAGCAACGUUUUCCAACAUAUUUUCCAGAGACAGUUUCACUUGGGGAGGAACGAGAAGAUGGCAUACCGCCUUCCAACUAAGCCAUUUACCCUCCUCUUUAGAAGGGUGACCCUUAAGAAACCUGUAAGCACUGCUGGUAGUAAUUUCUCCUCUAGGUCACGGUCCAUAUCCACCUAUUAUAGGGUAGCAAUUGAUAUCUGUUAAUGAAUUGCUAAAUGAAUCAUUUUGUGUGCAUCUAGAAGUACAUGAGAGCGAGAACUAUCUUCUAACUCAGGUUGGACAUUGCUCAUAAUGUUCAUAAUUAAAAGGUUUUGCUGAUUAUGCUUAAUAAGACCAAAGAAUUGCAGCAUAAAAAAUUGCUAAAAUCCUAUAAAUAAGGGACUCUACGUUCUCACUUAAAGAACUUGCUGCAAGACUAGUAAAAGCACAAUGCAGAAAUUUUCAGAAAGAUAUUGUCAAUCAUGUAUCAUGAAAUAGCAUGGAUGUCUUAGAAUAUUGUCAUGCUAAUUUUAAUGACAACCAGAGUAAAGUUACAGCAGUGCACUAAUAAUUCCAAGAACAGCACACAGUGGUGGUACCAAUUACCCAACCAAACUUCUAUGUUUUUUAAGUUAAAUCUCCUAGUUACUAUUUUAAAUUUUAUAUAAUUAUAUUCAAUACUUACUCCAUUCACCUCUCUUUGGCCAAAUCUCCCCUCGGUUAAAACAAAAAAAAAGAGGCCACAAGAUAAACUAAUAAUUACACUUGGAUCUACAAAUGAUAAUAGUUAGCCACCUUUCAUGUGCUUUUCACUGUUUGCACUGCAACUUCAUUCCUUUAAUCUUUUGUUAUGCUUAUUUCCAAUAACUCAAUAUGUUGCAGAAGGUGCCUUCUAUGUACUUUUCACUGUUUGCACCACAACUUUAUUUCUUUUAUCUUCUUUAUUCUUUCUUCAACUACUUGUUGCCAAAAAUCCUUAAUAUGUUACAGAAGGUGCUGGUGUCUUUUUCCUACUAUUUGUUCCUUCAUCUCUGAGAAAGAGAGCCAAAAAGCUAUAUUAACUUAUGUAGUAAUGUCUAGAACUAUAAAUCUCAUGCAAUUGCAACAGCUAAAUUAUGUUACCUGAACAACAAAGGGAUGUGCUUGGUCAUUAGAAAAUUAAGGCAGUGCGCAAGUAGAAUCUUGCCAGAACUUUCAUUAAGGUUUACCACAAUCCACUCCCCAUUGGCUCUAAAACACAUCAUAAUCAAUCAGUAAUUGUGUAUUGAUCCUACUGUGUAUCAAAACUUUACCUCAACCGCUAUAAAUGUUUGGCUAUUAACUACUAUAAACUGUAGUCUAUUAACCUCAAACAGCAUAAUGUUUAAUAAAGCUCAAAACAGUGUUUCUGUCCAAGAUUAUAGUAGUUUCGCAACUCUCUUAUAAGUUAUAAAAGUCCAUAAAUAGAAUUCCAUGUACCAAACAACAUCAUCCUUCAAGCUCUAAAAUGUUCUUUCCAUGCAAAUAAGAAGUAUUCCCUUUCUCUAUGAUUUAAGUAUAGUAUCAAACUAGAUAUAAGCAUAGUAUCAAACUAGAUACAAAACGAGCAACUCCUUACUUCAAAGAAGUCAGCUUAUUUGAUUGUGGAAUCUCUUUGUUGGCAAAUCAUGACAAUGGCAACAGUGAUAAAAAAAAAAUCUUAGCCUACA